rnacentral:rRNA from 1 species
GCUGGCGGCAGGCCUAACACAUGCAAGUCGAACGGAGUUAUAUUGUAGCUUGCUAUGGUAUAACUUAGUGGCAGACGGGUGAGUAAUGUAUAGGAAUCUACCUAGUAGUACGGAAUAAUUGUUGGAAACGGCAACUAAUACCGUAUACGCCCUACGGGGGAAAAAUUUAUUGCUAUUAGAUGAGCCUAUAUUAGAUUAGCUAGUUGGUGGAGUAAUAGCCUACCAAGGCAAUGAUCUAUAGCUGAUCUGAGAGGAUGAUCAGCCACACUGGAACUGAGAUACGGUCCAGACUCCUACGGGAGGCAGCAGUGGGGAAUAUUGGACAAUGGGCGAAAGCCUGAUCCAGCCAUGCCGCAUGAGUGAAGAAGGCCUUUGGGUUGUAAAGCUCUUUUAGUGAGGAAGAUAAUGACGGUACUCACAGAAGAAGUCCUGGCUAACUCCGUGCCAGCAGCCGCGGUAAUACGGAGAGGGCUAGCGUUAUUCGGAAUUAUUGGGCGUAAAGGGCGCGUAGGCGGAUUAGUAAGUUAAAAGUGAAAUCCCAAGGCUCAACCUUGGAAUUGCUUUUAAAACUGCUAAUCUAGAGAUUGAAAGAGGAUAGAGGAAUUCCUAGUGUAGAGGUGAAAUUCGUAAAUAUUAGGAGGAACACCAGUGGCGAAGGCGUCUAUCUGGUUCAAAUCUGACGCUGAGGCGCGAAGGCGUGGGGAGCAAACAGGAUUAGAUACCCUGGUAGUCCACGCUGUAAACGAUGAAUGUUAAAUAUGGGAAGUUUUACU